AAUCCGACCGGGAUGGGCUGAUCCACAGGAUUAGGUAGUUGGUAGGUUAACCGCAUUACCAAGCCGAAGAUCCUUCGCGGUCCCGAGAGGGUGCCCCGCCACAGGGGGACUGAAAAAGGCCCCAACUUUAACAAGGCAGCAGUGGGGAAUCUUGGACAAUUAGCUUGGGCUAGAUCCAGCCUUACCCCGAGGGUCAUGUCACCUCACAGUGAAAACCUACAUCGAGGUUUCCUCAGCACCUGAACCUCAGGUAUGUUUUCGGGUGACCGAAAACCCUGGGGGGAGCCUCGUUGUUUAACAUACCCAUGUUAAACCCGGGUGGGAAGUGCCGGUUACGGUCUAUCGACCCCGUGGGGGUGGCCCACUCUAGCCGGUGGAACCACUAUAACUACCCCAUGCAAAGUCCCGGCCAAAUUCGUGCCAGCAGCCGCGGUAACACGGAAGGGGCAAGCGUUGCUCGUAAGUAUUGGGCGUAAGGCGUCUGUAGGUGGUUCAACCGAACUAGUUUACCCCCCCACGGAACACCCAGGGUGUUCCGUGGGUCACCGGUAAAGUAAAGGGGUAGCCCAGAGGUGCAAGGUACCCUUGAUGGAGGGGUGGAAUCCAAAAAGAUCAAUGGGGACCCCCAACGGCGAAGGCAUUGUCACCCGGGGCUUCCAACACUGAGAGACGAAAGCGUGGGGAGCAAACAGGAUUAGAUACCCUGGUAGUCCACGCCCUCAACGAUGAAAACAGAACUACUUUAAAGUUUAACCUAACGGGACAAGUUUUCCGCCUGAGUAGUACGAUCGCAAGGUUGAAAUUCAAAGAGAUUGACGGAGGUCAACAAAAGAGGUGGAACAUGUGGUUUAAUCCGAUACAACGCGUAGCACCUUACCGAGUCGGUAGACACAACCGGGUUCCCCCAGGGGGGGUGUCCCGUGGGCAGGUACUGCAUGGCUGUCGUCAGUUCGUGCUGUAGGGUGUUUGGUUAAUUCCUUUCAACGAACGCAACCCCCUUGGAGUACUUUUAGGUACUCAACUGAACGAUCACUCUGGGUGGGCCUAGCCGGCCCCCCCGUAACCGUUCUAGUAGGGAACACGUCAAGUCGUCAUGGUCCUUAUCCGUCGGGCUACACACGUGUUACAAGGUGGGCCCCAACAAGAAGCACCAGGGCAACCUUACGCUAAACUUGAAAGACCCACCCAGUUCGAAAAGGGGUCUGUAAACGACCCCCCGAAGUAGGAAUCUCUAGUAAUCGGGGAUCAGCACGCCCCGGUGAAGAAAUUCGGACCUAGUACACACCGCCCGUCACACCAUGGAAAUUGUUUUUACUGUAACGGUGCACCCCCCGGGGGUAGGCGCCCCGCGAGUUUCGCAGGCCGCCCCGGGGGGUUCCCGCGCGGCGAGAGGGAUAACUGGGGUGAAGUCGUAACAAGGUAGCCGUAGGGGAACCUGUGGCUGGACUAUCAAUUUUUU
rnacentral:rRNA from 1 species